UCGAACGGAUCCUUCGGGAUUAGUGGCAGACGGGUGAGUAACGCGUGGGAAGCUACCUUGUGGUAGGGGACAACAGUUUGAAAAGACUGCUAAUACCCUAUGAGCCCUAUGGGGGAAAGAUUUAUCGCCAUGAGAUGUGCCCGCGUUAGAUUAGCUAGUUGGUAAGGUAAUGGCUUACCAAGGCGACGAUCUAUAGCUGGUCUGAGAGGAUGAUCAGCCACACUGGGACUGAGACACGGCCCAGACUCCUACGGGAGGCAGCAGUGGGGAAUAUUGGACAAUGGGGGCAACCCUGAUCCAGCCAUGCCGCGUGUGUGAUGACGGCCUUAGGGUUGUAAAGCACUUUCAGCAGUGAAGAUAAUGACAUUAACUGCAGAAGAAGCCCCGGCUAACUUCGUGCCAGCAGCCGCGGUAAUACGAAGGGGGCUAGCGUUGUUCGGAAUCACUGGGCGUAAAGAGUACGUAGGCGGACUGAUAAGUUAGGGGUGAAAUCCCAAGGCUCAACCUUGGAACUGCCUUUGAUACUGUCAGUCUUGAGAUCGAGAGAGGUGAGUGGAACUCCGAGUGUAGAGGUGAAAUUCGUAGAUAUUCGGAAGAACACCAGUGGCGAA
rnacentral:rRNA from 1 species